GACGGAGGAUGCAAGCGUUAUCCGGAAUGAUUGGGCGUAAAGCGUCCGCAGGUGGCCGUUCAAGUCUGCUGUCAAAGUCCAGGGCUCAACCCUGGAAUGCCGAUGGAUACUGCGGAGCUAGAGUCCGGAAGAGGCGAGUGGAAUUCCUGGUGUAGCGGUGAAAUGCGCAGAUAUCAGGAGGAACACCAAUGGCGAAGGCAGCUCGCUGGGACGGUACUGACGCUGAGACGCGAAAGCGUGGGGAGCAAACAGG
rnacentral:rRNA from 1 species